rnacentral:rRNA from 1 species
AUUGAACGCUGGCGGCAGGCCUAAUACAUGCAAGUCGAACGAGUGGCGGACGGGUGAGUGAUGUCUGGGAAACUGCCUGAUGGAGGGAGAUAACUACUGGAAACGGUAGCUACUACCGCAUACCAUCAGAUGUGCCCAGAGUGGAGUAGCUUGUUGGUGGGGUAACGGCUCACCAAGGCGACGAUCCCUAGCUGGGCUGAGAGGAUGACCGGCCACACUGGAACUGAGACACGGUCCAGACUCCUACGGGAGGCAGCAGUGGGGAAUAUUGCACAAUGGGCGCAAGCCUGAUGCAGCCAUGCCGCGUGUAUGAAGAAGGCCUUCGGGUUGUAAAGUACUUUCGGCGGAGAGGCGUUACCCGCCCAAGAAGCACCGGCUAACUCCGUGCCAGCAGCCGCGGUAAUAC